ensembl:lncRNA
UCUUUGAUAGAGGCCUACCUUAAGUUUAGGCUUUCCUGCUGUAGCUGGCCUUUCAAAAUAAGUAUUUCAAAGAUGAUGAGUUGCUUGGAGGGCCUCCUGUACUUAGUAUGAACUGGUGGAGAUCAGCUCAACUGAUAGCACUAGGUAGAUUAUGAAAGUGUGUCUAUGUGUGCUCCCCUAGUGCUGAUCUUUUUUAAUGCAUCCGGGUUUUAUAAUCUUGACUCAUACUUAUUUUCUGAUCUCCAGUAGUUAAUUGCUCCCUUGUGGAAAUUCUAGGACAAAAUGCGUUCCUGACAGUGUCCUUGGAGAAAGGCAGGAUACACAUUUCUUGAAGCGCAUUUCUUUUUCUAAGGCUUUUUAUUCCUGCUGGUGUUGCUUGAUUUAUUUUCUUCAGUUGCCAGUGACAGAGAUGAAUGAGGAAGAGGAAUGAUUCUUCUUCAAACUUGCCGUAGAAAAUCUGGCUGCUUAGUACACCUGUGAACAGGCAAUCAGAAGACUCAGCAAGUGGACUGUGGCUGGGAACAGAUGGCUGCCACGUGGGACAGUCUGCCUUUGGCCAAAGGGGCUGUUAUCACCUCUGAAAUAGGCCUCUUGUGGUUGGAACCACCUCUUGGGAAAGGUGUCUAGACCAUCCCAAGUUUCAGGCUUUGUAUGAUGGUGAUUUGAAGAGGGUGUCUGAAGUAGUAAACUUGUAAUGGAGAGGACAGUUGGGAAAUUAGUGGAGGGACAGGAGCAUGUUGAAUUGCUUUGGAGUGCUCCUGAACAUGGCUUAUUGGUGUAAUCCGUGCUUUGCAUCCAGCGGAGGAAUUGAUAAAGUCUUUAAAAUAUUUGGUUUGAAGUCUGGAUCUGAAAAAGCACACUCAGUAACAGCCCUUCAAAUGAACUCAGUGGACUCUAGAUCAGUAUCUAACCAUAAAAGGCAAGGAGCGAUGACAUACCCUCUGUUGUAUUUCUGUGCUAAAGCUAUAGAUGUUAUAUCUUCUUUUGAAGACUUGCAGGGAUUUAAAACUGAUUCUCAGGCUGCCCUGUGGUGUGGCAUGAUCUGAGGGGUGCUGCAGCAGCAGAACUGCCUUACAGAGCCCAUGUCCCUGUGGGGCAGGUCGUGAUUUGGCAAGGCAUCGUCCUUGGUCUGUGUCUGCCUGCCCUUACUUCCCACUCUACUUCCCAGGAGCCCCACCCUAUUGAGCUAACAUAGUGGCUUGCGGGAUCCCACUCUAAAUGAGAUCAGGGAACCAGUUUAGGUUGUAACUCCUUAUCCCUUCCUCCUCCACAGAUGCUUAUGGUUUGUUUUUUUUUGUUGUUGUUUGUUUGUUUUUAAACUGGACCCUUCCCCUAACUGGUUUUACACUUUGGCCUCACGGAGAGAUGUGUUGGCAGAGCUGAAGAUGAACCAUCUGGAGUGAGGAGCAGACAAGACAAGGGAACAUCCAGGGAAUUGUUGGAAGGGUGUUUUCUCCUGAUUAUGCAAUGCAGGAGCAGAGGAAGUGGAGUUAACCCAAAAGACUAAAGUGAG